rnacentral:tRNA from 1 species
UCCCUGGUGGCUUAAAUGGUAAAGAAUCUACCUGCAAUGCAGAAGACCUGGGUUCAAUCCCUGGGUUGGGAA